GACGAACGCUGGCGGCGUGCCUAAUACAUGCAAGUCGAACGAACUCUGGUAUUGAUUGGUGCUUGCAUCAUGAUUUACAUUUGAGUGAGUGGCGAACUGGUGAGUAACACGUGGGAAACCUGCCCAGAAGCGGGGGAUAACACCUGGAAACAGAUGCUAAUACCGCAUAACAACUUGGACCGCAUGGUCCGAGUUUGAAAGAUGGCUUCGGCUAUCACUUUUGGAUGGUCCCGCGGCGUAUUAGCUAGAUGGUGAGGUAACGGCUCACCAUGGCAAUGAUACGUAGCCGACCUGAGAGGGUAAUCGGCCACAUUGGGACUGAGACACGGCCCAAACUCCUACGGGAGGCAGCAGUAGGGAAUCUUCCACAAUGGACGAAAGUCUGAUGGAGCAACGCCGCGUGAGUGAGGAAGGGUUUCGGCUCGUAAAACUCUGUUGUUAAAGAAGAACAUAUCUGAGAGUAACUGUUCAGGUAUUGACGGUAUUUAACCAGAAAGCCACGGCUAACUACGUGCCAGCAGCCGCGGUAAUACGUAGGUGGCAAGCGUUGUCCGGAUUUAUUGGGCGUAAAGCGAGCGCAGGCGGUUUUUUAAGUCUGAUGUGAAAGCCUUCGGCUCAACCGAAGAAGUGCAUCGGAAACUGGGAAACUUGAGUGCAGAAGAGGACAGUGGAACUCCAUGUGUAGCGGUGAAAUGCGUAGAUAUAUGGAAGAACACCAGUGGCGAAGGCGGCUGUCUGGUCUGUAACUGACGCUGAGGCUCGAAAGUAUGGGUAGCAAACAGGAUUAGAUACCCUGGUAGUCCAUACCGUAAACGAUGAAUGCUAAGUGUUGGAGGGUUUCCGCCCUUCAGUGCUGCAGCUAACGCAUUAAGCAUUCCGCCUGGGGAGUACGGCCGCAAGGCUGAAACUCAAAGGAAUUGACGGGGGCCCGCACAAGCGGUGGAGCAUGUGGUUUAAUUCGAAGCUACGCGAAGAACCUUACCAGGUCUUGACAUACUAUGCAAAUCUAAGAGAUUAGACGUUCCCUUCGGGGACAUGGAUACAGGUGGUGCAUGGUUGUCGUCAGCUCGUGUCGUGAGAUGUUGGGUUAAGUCCCGCAACGAGCGCAACCCUUAUUAUCAGUUGCCAGCAUUAAGUUGGGCACUCUGGUGAGACUGCCGGUGACAAACCGGAGGAAGGUGGGGAUGACGUCAAAUCAUCAUGCCCCUUAUGACCUGGGCUACACACGUGCUACAAUGGAUGGUACAACGAGUUGCGAACUCGCGAGAGUAAGCUAAUCUCUUAAAGCCAUUCUCAGUUCGGAUUGUAGGCUGCAACUCGCCUACAUGAAGUCGGAAUCGCUAGUAAUCGCGGAUCAGCACGCCGCGGUGAAUACGUUCCCGGGCCUUGUACACACCGCCCGUCACACCAUGAGAGUUUGUAACACCCAAAGUCGGUGGGGUAACCUUUUAGGAACCAGCCGCCUAAGGUGGGACAGAUGAUUAGGGUG
rnacentral:rRNA from 1 species